GGGGAGUCAGAGCGACGUUGGGUGAAACACGGCCCUGGACAUCACCGGGGUGGGCACAGCGCAUUCCUCAAUCUGCACGCUGGGUCUGGAUUUCUUUUCCCAGGAUAACAUCUUGGAGCUCACUACAAGCAGUAACGAUGGUGCCAGCACAUGCGUCGUGACCUUGCUUGUCCCAGUUGCUCUCAGGAAAUUGCCCGGUGUUCAAAAUCUCUAAAAUCGAAGCUGCUUAUUUCAUGCCACAGCGCUGCUUUGCCCAGAUCUGAAGAUCUGGCCAAAGGGGCACCUCCGCUACUGGGAAGAAAGGAUUCAGGACUCACACCAUCCAUGAGAGGCCAAGUCCUGCAGCAUCACCUCCACACAGCUGCCAGCAGCAGUGGGCAGAGACAUCCAGCCCGAGGAAAGGAGGAGAACAAGAGAACUAUUGGGUUUGGUUUUUUAAAAUAAAUUUCAGAGUGAAAUGCAUUCCCAAUGAAAAAAAACCAAACCAAGUACAUCUCUGGAAAUGGUCCGAGUGAAACGGCUGCAGUGAAACCCCAGCGGCCGAGCGUGGAGGACGGCUGCGUACCCGGAUC